CCCUUAGAUGUCCGGGGCUGCACGCGCGCUACACUGAAGGAAUCAGCGUGCUAAAACCAUUGUCGAAAGGCAUUGGUAAACCCAUUAAAAUCCUACGUGAUUGGGAUCGGGAAUUGCAGUUAUUUCCCUUGAACGAGGAAUUCCCAGUAAGUGUGGGUCAUAAGCUCGCGUUGAUUACGUCCCUGCCCUUUGUACACACCGCCCGUCGCUGCCCGGGACUGAGCCGUUUCGAGAAAAGCGGGGACUGCUGCUGUCGGGGCUUUCGGGCCUUGGCUUCGGUGGAAACCGCUUUAAUCGCAGUGGCUUGAACCGGGCAAAAGUCGUAACA
rnacentral:rRNA from 1 species